AGGACGAACGCUGGCGGCGUGCUUAACACAUGCAAGUCGAGCGGAAAGGCUCCUUCGGGGGUACUCGAGCGGCGAACGGGUGAGUAACACGUGAGUAAUCUGCCCUCCACUUUGGGAUAGCCACCGGAAACGGUGAUUAAUACCGGAUAUGACCUCGCAUCGCAUGGUGUGUGGUGGAAAGUUUUUCGGUGGGGGAUGUGCUCGCGGCCUAUCAGCUUGAUGGUGGGUAAUGGCCUACCAUGGCUUCGACGGGUA
rnacentral:rRNA from 1 species